UACGGAGGGUGCAAGCGUUAUCCGGAUUCACUGGGUUUAAAGGGUGCGUAGGUGGGCAAGUAAGUCAGUGGCGAAAUCUCCGGGCUUAACCCCGGAAACUGCCAUUGAUACUAUUUGUCUUGAAUACUGUGGAGGUCAGCGGAAUAUGUCAUGUAGCGGUGAAAUGCUUAGAUAUGACAUAGAACACCAAUUGCGAAGGCAGCUGGCUACACAAAUAUUGACACUGAGGCACGAAAAGCGUGGGGAUCAAACAGG
rnacentral:rRNA from 1 species